GAUGAACGCUGGCGGCGUGCCUAACACAUGCAAGUCGAGCGAUCUUCUUCGGAAGAGAGCGGCGGACGGGUGAGUAACGCGUGGGUAACCUGCCUCAUACACAUGGAUAACAUACCGAAAGGUAUGCUAAUACAAGAUGAUAUAAGAGAUUCGCAUGGAUUUCUUAUCAAAGCUCCGGCGGUAUGAGAUGGACCCGGGUCUGAUUAGCUAGUUGGUAAGGUAACGGCUUACCAAGGCGACGAUCAGUAGCCGACCUGAGAGGGUGAUCGGCCACAUUGGAACUGAGACACGGUCCAAACUCCUACGGGAGGCAGCAGUGGGGAAUAUUGCACAAUGGGCGAAAGCCUGAUGCAGCAACGCCGCGUGAGCGAUGAAGGCCUUCGGGUCGUAAAGCUCUGUCCUCAAGGAAGAUAAUGACGGUACUUGAGGAGGAAGCCCCGGCUAACUACGUGCCAGCAGCCGCCGUAACAC
rnacentral:rRNA from 1 species